GGAACUUCUCGGCUCCUUAAGCUCAGAUCAAGUGUAGUACCUGUUCUUAUCAGUUUCAUAUCUGAUAUGUCCUUUAUUUGAGGACUGUAUAUUAAAUUGAUUUUUGAAAGAGGGGGCUGGAAUAGGAGCUUGCUCUGUCCAUCUCACUGCAAUACCAGGACAAUGCAUGUCUCUGGGAACAGUGCAUCUCCUU